CAGAUAAAAUCUCUAGCUCAGAAUGAAGAGAAAGCUAGCCUAUUUAUAGGCAAAGACAAGGCUGAACGAGGGAAGAGAAAACGCCAAAAGGGAAGAGUGAACGCCAAACGUUUCAUGAUUUUAUUGAAUUUUUUGAACCGUUUGAUUUCAAUUAAAUCAGUCCUAUAUUAAAGAGGUUUCAAAACCGAAGAGACACGUCUCUUCGGAUCUUCAAAUGGUAGCCGAAAGAUGAAAGAUCAAGCGGCCUUCGAUGUGUUCGGAAGAAGAAGAAGAACGCGGUCCACGGGAGAAGGUUUGCAGAAAAAAAAUUGGUCCACUGGACCGAGGAAGAAACCAGAACCAAAAACGUGUCAUUCAAAUAGAGGGGCAAACAAGUAAAUUUCCAAAUCAAAUUUGACUUUUCUUAAAUGGGUUAAUUCAAAUGGGCUGAAUCAAAUGGACUUGGGUCCAUUAUUGGUUCUAAACCAAAUUGAAGACCAAUUUGAAAGAUUUUGGAUCCGAAAAAAUUCCACAU
rnacentral:lncRNA from 1 species